AUGGCCGCUUUGGAUCGGCAAAAUCCUAAUCUCGACGAUUUUGUCGGAUUAAACUGGAGUUGUUGGGUGGAAAGAGUGAAUAUGUUACCAUCUGACGCUGAGUCUAAUGUUGACGACAGCAGCAAGCAUGUGAGAACCCCCCCUGAGACCAUGACCCUCAAGAAAGAAGAUAUGCACACAUUUGGUCGAUGCCCUGCACACGAUGAGAUCUCUCUGGUGGUGUGCAGCCACUGUGGCCAUGUGGUGAAGCCUCAGGCCUUUGAGAAGCACUGCGAGAGGCGGCAUGGUCCUCUCACUAAGACGUGUGGACAGUCUUCUUCUUCGGCUUCACAGCACAGACUUCGCCCUGCACGCCCUCAAGCAAAUCAUUCCUCCUCUAGAGAGAAGCAGAAAGCCAGUGCCCACUCCUCAGCAGCAUCACCGGUACACCAGCACAUGCCGAGCAAGGCCCAGCAGGAGGCAGUGAGUUUUCAUUCAGUGGAGAAUUUCCCUCAGGAGAAGUCUCCUCUCCCACACCACUCGUCCCCCUCCGCGCCUCUACCCAGGGUCCCUCCAUGGCACUCGGGACCCCUGCCCCCUGGCCCCUGUUCCGCCUCCACGUCUACGUCAGAGUUACCCUCAGUGCAGAAGCCCACAGCUGGGCAUUCCAGUGAGUCUCAUAGUCCUCUCCGGGGAACGAGAACCUACAGCCGGACUUACAAAAAUAUCAACAAGAAAGAAUGUGACCUGAACACACCGUAUGGGGUUCUGGAUCCAGAGAGGAAGAAGCUGUGCAGCCAGGAGCUUCUAUGCAAAACGGAUUCAAUCCAUCAGCAGCAGAAAGCUUUGGGAAGUACUAAGACCUCUGAUCAAUGGACAGAGGAGCAGAACACCGCCUCUGGAGGUCAAGAUAUGGAGCAGCUUCCUGUCAAAUCAAAAGACAAAGAGCAACAUCAUCAACAAGAGAAGAUAACACUGCAGAGCAGUACAACAUUUAACGGCAACAGUCACAUUCUCAGGUCCAGAAUCCCAUCAGAAAGCACUCCAGAGGAGCAGAGCGGCAGCACUGGGGAAGUGGAGGCACAGCCGCAAAUUCUCUUCAACAAAAGCCUGUUUUCAGGCGAGGAGAGUGAAGACGAUGAGCAGGCGGAAGACAUAGACCUGUCUGCCACUCCCUGGCACCCCAAACCUCUCGGGCUAUGCACGUUUGGAUGCCGCACAUUGGGCUGCAGCAUCUUCACCUUCAACCGUCGAUGGCACCACCUGCGCUUUGCCCUCAGUGCCAUGCUGGAGCACCAUGUGAGCACACACCUGUGGAAGAAAAUGCCUCAAGUAUCAUCAGGUCUCAGGUCCUGUCAUGUCACACCUCCAGCUGUAGGAUCACCCGUCAGGACCGCCAGACCCACCAAAUCCACUGGCUCCCUCAGCCUCGAGCCUACCUCACUGGGACCACUGGAAACCAAAACCAGUCAGCACAACGCUCACAGUAUCAAAGCGCUGUCUUCCACCACAUCUGCAAGACUUGUGCAGGAUGCAAGUGCAGCACAGAAAGCUGCUCACAGCGCUGAGGACAAGUCCUCCAAAAGCAUCAGGGACCCCCUCAAUGAGAAGGGCCAGCAGCCACAUGUCCCCUCCAAUCAGGGAGCGGUAAACGGCGCCCUUCCACACAAAAAGAAGCCAUGCCCUCCUCUUAAACACUCCCCCCGCAGCAGAGGGAAGCCCCCGGGGAUUCAGCAGAAGGUGGUGGGCUACGACCACAGAGGUCCUGCCAAAAAGCGCAAAGGCAGCAAUGAGCCUCAGACCAUCAGAGCCUCGCGAUCCAGAACCAAGUGUCAACGCUUGUCCUCCCCUUCCCAGAGAGGAGAGCGACUGGAAAGAAUAACGGGGUCGCGCAUGCUGUGGGCCUGGAGAAAAGAUCCAACUCAUGAAGAUCAAUAAAGAAUCCAGCCUUAAAAAACACUUGGAGAAGAAGUGUGCUGCUGCUGCUGCUGCAGCUGCAUGUGCUGCUUUGAUAAUCUUUAGAUUUUCUAACACCAGAUGGUGCUAUCUGGUUGGCUACAAAGUCCUACUACUCAUCAUUACUCCCCAAACCUCCACCCGCAUCCUCACAUCCACAAACAGCUCGCUCCUCCGGGUCCGCAACACCAAGCUCCGCCACGGGCGUCCGGCCUUUUGCUUCUGGAACAGUCUCCCUGACCACGCGAGGGCAGCACAGGCACUGGACUCCUUUAAGACUGGCCGGAAAACCUUUUUAUUCAGGAAGACGCCAGCUAUUUUAUUUUCUAUGCUAAUUUGUUUUUAACUAUCUACUUUGCUCUGUAGUACUCCGAGAUUCUUUUUGAAUGAAAAGUGCUUUACAAAUAAAAAUGUAUUAUUAUUAUGACAUAUAUAUAUAUAUAUAGAAACAUAUUCAUAUAUAAACAUAUUUAUAUAGAUAUAUUCUUAUCCAUAUAUAUGUGUGUAUGCUUAUAUAUUUAUAUACACUACCGUUCAAAAGUUUGGGAUCACUUAGAAAUGACUUUAUUUUUCAAAGAAAAGCACGGUUUUUUUCAAUAAAGAUAACAUUAAAUUAAUCAGAAAUACACUCUCUACAUUGUUAAUGUGGUAAAUGACUAUUCUAGGUGGAAACGUCUGGUUUCUAAUGAAAUAUCUCCAUAGGUGUAUAGAGGCCCAUUUCCAUCAACGAUCACUCCAGUGUUCUAAUGGUACAUUGUGUUUGCUAAUCGCCUUAGAAGACUAAUGGAUGAUUAGAAAACCCUUGUGCAAUUAUGUUAGCACAGCUGAAAACAGUUAUGCUGGUGAUAUAAGCGAUACAACUGGCCUUCCUUUGAGCUUGAAGUUUGAAGAACAAAAUUAAUACUUCAAAUAUUAAUCAUUAUUUCUAACCUUGUCAAUGUCUUGACUAUAUUUUAUAUUCAUUUGAUAAAUAAAAGUGUGAUUUUUCAUGGAAGACACGAAAUUGUCUGGGUGAUCCCAAACUUUUGAACGGUAGUGUACAUAUGUGUAUUUAUGUUUAUUUGUGUGUGUUUAUAGCUGUAUAUAUGUAUGAUGUUGUGUGGACUGAAAAAUAUGUUUAAAUUCAAUCAAAAGUAGUUUCAUAUGGACAUUUUGAAAACAUUUACUUUAAUGUUAUUCUCCUCAAAGUGCAGUUAUUUAAAACGGGGACAUUUUGUUUGUUUAAAGGUGUCAAAUGGUUUGGACGUGGCCAGUUAAUGUCAGUGUUUAUAUUCAGCGAUGCACUUCCUCAGUUUAUCACCAGAUGUUGUUAAGCUCUUAAUGUUGCUCCUCUGAAUAAAAGCAGCAUAAAGAACCUUU